GACGAACGCUGGCGGCGUGCUUAACACAUGCAAGUCGAACGGAAAGGCCCUGCUUUGGUGGGGUGCUCGAGUGGCGAACGGGUGAGUAACACGUGAGUAACCUGCCCUUGACUUUGGGAUAACUUCAGGAAACUGGGGCUAAUACCGGAUAGGAGCUCCUGCUGCAUGGUGGUGGUUGGAAAGUUUCGGCGGUUGGGGAUGGACUCGCGGCUGAUCAGCUUGUUGGUGGGGUAGUGGCUUACCAAGGCUUUGACGGGUAGCCGGCCUGAGAGGGUGACCGGCCACAGUGGGACUGAGAUACGGCCGAGAGUCCUACGGGAGGCAGUAGUGGGGAAUAUUGCAUGAUGGGCGGAAGCCUGAUGCAGCAACGCCGCGUGCGGGAUGAAGGCCUUCGGGUUGUAAACCGCUUUCGCCUGUGACGAAGCGUGAGUGACGGUAAUGGGUAAAGAAGCAACGGCUAACUACGUG
rnacentral:rRNA from 1 species